rnacentral:rRNA from 1 species
UACGUAGGGUGCGAGCGUUGUCCGGAAUUAUUGGGCGUAAAGAGCUCGUAGGCGGUCUGUCGCGUCGGUCGUGAAAACUUGGGGCUUAACCCUGAGCUUGCGGUCGAUACGGGCAUGACUGGAGUUCGGUAGGGGAGACUGGAAUUCCUGGUGUAGCGGUGAAAUGCGUAGAGAUCAGGAGGAACACCCAUGGCGAAGGCAGCACUCUGGACCGGACCUGACGCUGAGACGCGAAAGCGUGGGGAGCGAACGGG